rnacentral:rRNA from 1 species
UACGUAGGCAGCAAGCGUUGUUCGGAGUUACUGGGCGUAAAGGGUGUGUAGGCGGUUGCUUAAGUUUGGGGUGAAAUCUCCCGGCUCAACUGGGAGGGUGCGCCGAAUACUGAGUGACUCGAGUGCGGGAGAGGAAAGUGGAAUUCCUGGUGUAGCGGUGAAAUGCGUAGAUAUCAGGAGGAAUACCGGUGGUGUAGACGGCUCUCUGGACCGCAACUGACGCUGAGACACGAAAGCGUGGGUAGCAAACAGG